GAAUAGUUUACCGGGAGCCUGCGGAAGCAGGCUGAGAGUGCGUCUAUUCCGUCGCAGACCGUUUGAACCUGUUGGAUAAUGCCAGCGUAGGGAAAAGUGCUGAGGAAAUU
rnacentral:ncRNA from 2 species